GGGGGAUGUUUUCCAGCCCAGAGUUCUGCUGCAUCGAUUAGUGUUGGCUGCAGAUGUUAAAGUAGAGGCUCCUGAAGAACAGAUUCCUGAGGGGGAGCCGCAGGAGUCAGAGCUCCUCCACAUAAAGGAGGAACAGGAGGAACCCGGGAUCCAUCAGGAAGGAGAGAAGCUCCUUUUGAAGGAGGAGACUGAUACCAAGUUUCCAUUAACUGAUGCUCCUAUCAACAUGUUUCCUGCAGAUGUUCAGCAGAAGCUGAUUGUUAAAGAA